rnacentral:sRNA from 1 species
CUGACCCUGUUUACAUAGUGUCAAGCUAGUGUAUAAGAGACUGUCAAUCUCGCCUAGCAGCGCUGUCAUAAUGUGUAUUACGUCUAUAUAGUGAUAGCUAGUAGAUUUAAUAAACCUAUUGUUGUAGUGACAAGGGUUGUGGCGAAAGAAAACCAUCACGGAUUCAGUGCUAGAUACAAGCUUGUCGAUAAAUGCUUCAACGGUUACGGUAGCACAAUACGCAGACCCUAAGCUAAUGCUGGUGUGAUAACUAGCAGAACCAAGUAGGGAAAUCAGUAAGCUAUUUUCUAGUUGAUAGAGGUAACUCCUCCUAUAAGUAACUAGUUGAGUAUUAGUAGGGUAAAUCUAGGAAUACAAUUAUAAAAAUAUUAUGAUGGAACAUUGUAAUAAAAUAUUAUAUGCCUAAAGACGCCUGAAAGUUAUCAGCCAUCGUGCUGGAUUACACAUUAAAAUGAGUCAACAGCUAGCUUGGUAGCUCCUUGCUAGUAGGCGUUGACUAGUGUAUGGCAGAAUAUAUCGUAAAAGCUAAAGUAUACUACGCAAACCAAUGCGGACACUUAUAUUGCUCUCUUAAU